AUUGCAAAUGAUGAAGAACAAGACAGGGACAUCUGCACCCUCUUUUAUUAGAGUAUAUGAUGAUUUGUCUGUGGGAAUCUCUUUGAUGCUUU